CUUCACCGAGCCCAGCCGCAGCGGGUCUCCCGAACGGUCCUUGCCGUAGGUGGCCAGCAGCGCGUCCGCCUC
rnacentral:antisense_RNA from 1 species